UGAGUAACACGUGAGUAACCUGCCCCAGACUCUGGAAUAACCCCGGGAAACCGGAGCUAAUACCGGAUACGAAACGGAGCCGCAUGGCUACUGUUUGGAAAGUUUUUCGGUCUGGGAUGGACUCGCGGCCUAUCAGCUUGUUGGUGAGGUAAUGGCUCACCAAGGCGACGACGGGUAGCCGGCCUGAGAGGGCGACCGGCCACACUGGGACUGAGACACGGCCCAGACUCCUACGGGAGGCAGCAGUGGGGAAUAUUGCACAAUGGGCGAAAGCCUGAUGCAGCGACGCCGCGUGAGGGAUGACGGCCUUCGGGUUGUAAACCUCUUUCAGCAGGGAAGAAGCGAAAGUGACGGUACCUGCAGAAGAAGCACCGGCUAACUACGUGCCAGCAGCCGCGGUAAUACGUAGGGUGCGAGCGUUGUCCGGAAUUAUUGGGCGUAAAGAGCUUGUAGGCGGUUUGUCGCGUCUGCUGUGAAAAUCCGGGGCUCAACCCCGGACUUGCAGUGGGUACGGGCAGACUAGAGUGUGGUAGGGGAGACUGGAAUUCCUGGUGUAGCGGUGAAAUGCGCAGAUAUCAGGAGGAACACCGAUGGCGAAGGCAGGUCUCUGGGCCACUACUGACGCUGAGAAGCGAAAGCAUGGGGAGCGAACAGGAUUAGAUACCCUGGUAGUC
rnacentral:rRNA from 1 species